AUCGUAUCGCAUCUGUAUAUUCAAAUCACUUCAAACAUGAUUCGAAGCUUGAAACUCUUGAUCAUGUAGAAGGUCUUGAAUCUUUAAAGUCUUGGCAGUCUUAGAAGUCUUGAUCAUCAUGGAAACCUCGAUCAUCUAGGAAGUGUUGAAAAUUGUGAUCAUUUUAAAAGCCUUGAUCGUAUUAGAAGUCUCGAUCAUCUUGUGAAAUAAAUGUAUGUAUGAUAAUUUGAUCUUUCCAGGCGUUUUAUAAACACUUGUUGUAGCUUGCAAAACUGAAACUAACAGCUUCAAAACGAUCAAGACUUUCAAGACUUUAAAGACUCAAACUUAUCAAGAUUUACAAAAGAACUUUAAGCUUCGAAUCAUGUUCGAAGCUAUCCGAAUUUGUCGCCUCAUAUAUAAUACAAAUUCGAAGCGAUUCGAAGUGUUUCCAAGUCCCAUCACUAGCCGCAAUUCGUGCCUAAUAACUGGGCGAACACGACAACAAAUUGAAGGAGCCUUAUUUUUGGACGACUAUUAUCUUCGUGCCUGUAUUUCGCUACAAUUUCAUCGACACGUCCGUUAACCCAGGUACACACAUUGACUGUCGAAUUUCCAACCAGCCAAAUUGCAUACGAUCACGUUAUAAGCGUUCAGAGUAUCAGCGUAUGGUGUAUGAAUAAUGAAUGAGCCUCGGACUGCAUAGUAAGACUGAGAAUACGGUCUUAUACGGUACUGUUACAUCCAACGAAAAGGUGGGGUUGCACAGUUAAAACUCGUGCAACGAGACAGCCGGCCAAUAAGCAGGCAUAAAGACGACGGCGUUAAAUAACCGGUACUCGUCCUAUCGGCCGAUUGCUUUUUGUUGUAGGCCAUGGCACGUCAGCUCGAGGCUCGAGCACCACUCUGUCGACCAGCGAAACGGCUAAUGUUCUUGUUUUUUUUUUUUUCUUGCCUUCUUUCUGUUUUCAUUCUUCUUCUCCUUCACGUUCUUCUUCUUCUCCUUGUUCUUUUUUGCCUGAUUCUUUUAUUCUUUGCCGAGUUCGAUCGAAUCGAGAAAGAUCGAAAGGACGCGUUCGAUGGAAACAAUUUUUUAACAAAGGACUCGAUCGUGUUGCGUUUGUCUUAUGCAGCAUAAACGUGAAAUAUAUUUAGGGAAUCGUAAGAAAAGUCAGGUUUCUGUAUAAGAAGAAAAUAGAGUCACUAGUCAUUAGGGAAUGUACUACAAACCUGCCUCACCAAGUAGCUACACAUUCUGAGAUAACACAAGUAAUUUGUAUCACACUGAAGCUAAGAAUUUUUGAUGCCAUCUUGUAACCAAAUGACGAGGAACAUAAUUAUUAUCGGAAUUAAUCCGAACAGAUGCAUUUAUUAAUCUAUACACAGCAUAAAAUAGAGUUCCCGGUAAGCGCCUGUAUGUUCAGGGCUAAUUUCGAGGACCACUUGAAGAAUUUCGAUGCGGUGUUCUCGAGGAAGAUUUAGAUGUAUGAAACAUUAACCUACGACAAAAGGUAGCAAGAAUAGAACAUUAAGAAUAUGAACCACAGACAGUACACGGAUAUUCGUAACAAAACAGCGAUCUUCUUCGUUGCGAUCAUGUUUAGAAUCGCUGCCACAAUAUAGCGAGACGAUAUGAUCCCCCCUUCGAGCAAUGUCUUUCUCUUCUUGGUGCGCGGCAUCUCAGAAGCUUCACGACUUCGUUGUGUGACAAUCGGUGUUGUUUCACGGACUACGGAACAUUUACCGAGCCAAUAAAGAUUCACGAGAUUGUCAGCCAUAUUAUUAAAAAAGAUUAUAUACACAUAAUACAUAUUAUAGUAUAUCAUAAUUACAAAUAUUCAACUCGCAAAUAGGAGAACAUUUAUUACAAUUCGUGUUAAAUUCGAUUCUAUUCGCACUGAAAUUUUUCCAUCGGCGUAUACAGCUGACACAACGUCAUUUAAAAGGACAUAAACGCCUCCACGGAAUGCGUUUAUCCCAAGUCAAUAAAUUCAUGCUCAAGAUCGAUAUCGUGUGCAUUUAACGUCUCCCAUAAACUAUCGAAUCUUACACGGUGAACUAGUUCCGUUGACCAGACAGGUUGCCUCGGCCAUCCUGCACGGAUAUACGUAAAGUCGACGUCCUUAAAUGCAUCAUGCGUCUCGUAAUACUCAUCCGAUUAUCCGUUCAUUCAUUUCGCUUAAUUGCCCACACCGUUAUCAGACGGGUUAAGCUGAACGUCUGAGGAACGCUGUAUCUUCGGUUGUUUUAUAAAAAGACAAGUUUAUUCAUAUACGGAUCACGUUAUGAUAAUGUGCGAUUAAAUUCAUAUAUAGGUAACUAUGCUUGCAGAGGCAAGUGAGACUAGUUAUGGAAUGUGUGAGAGAGGAUGUUGAAUCACAGGCUGAAGCUAUAAUUACGUACAAGGAUUAUGGAGAAAAUAGUAAAAAGAAUAAAUUAUAGUAAAUACACCACCUUUAAUAUUUCUUUAAAUCUUCUUAACUGCAGUACAUUUAAAUUAGUUAUCGGUCUAUUAGCAGGGACUAUCCUAGAUCUUUGAAAUUAAUAAACCGCGUUAUUUACACUUCAUUUUCCUGAAAAUAUACAGUGUAAUACACAUAUGUAUAUCCCAUUGAUCUCAUAAUGUAGUACAUUAACAUCAG